AUUUGUGGUAGGAAGACACGAUAGCAGAUGCAGAUGUCACAGGGCUGGGAUGGCUUUGCUGUAAGAAAUGAAUACCUACCUAACAAGCCUGGCGUUGAUUUCCAGAAGAUAGAGAAUACCCUAGUAGCUACAGAAAGAAGACAACAGUGGAAAAGUUUAAAAAGAAAAUAUGAAAGACGGCUGCUGUUACACCACGCCAUGUCCCUACAGGCAAGCUAAGAACAGAGCUGAUGCGAUCGCAGAGACGUCACCCCCAUUAACGCUGAGGACGCCAGCUACCCCUGACUAAGCCUUGCAAAACUCUCCAUUAAAAUGUGCUUGCUAAACCACCUGCCCAAAUUUCUCAACAAACCUGUGGGUUCUUUUCCUUGUCAAUGACUUUUCCCUACGGAGGUGACAACACCUGGCAGAGGCGUCAGAGACCAUCAGCCU